GGGGAUUUAGCUCAGUGGUAGAGCGCUUGCCUAGCAAGCACAAGGCCCUGGGUUCCAUCCCCAGCUCCG
rfam:Rattus norvegicus chromosome 19, whole genome shotgun sequence.